rnacentral:rRNA from 1 species
CAAUAGCGUAUAUUAAAGUUGUUGCGGUUAAAAAGCUCGUAGUUGGAUUUCUGCCGAGGACGACCGGUCCGCCCUCUGGGUGAGUAUCUGGCUCGGCCUGGGCAUCUUCUUGGAGAACGUAUCUGCACUUGACUGUGUGGUGCGGUAUCCAGGACUUUUACUUUGAGGAAAUUAGAGUGUUUCAAGCAGGCUAUCGCCUUGAAUAUGUUAGCAUGGAAUAAUGAUAUAGGACUUUGGUUCUAUUUUGUUGGUUGUUCGAGAACCGAAGUAAUGAUUGAUAGGGACAGUUGGGGGCAUCAGUAUUCUGAAGCGAGAGGUGAAAUUCUUGGACCUUCGGAAGACUAACAACUGCGAAAGCAUUUGCCUAGGAUGUUCUCUUUAAUCAAGAACGAAAGUUGGGGGAGUCGAAGAUGAUUAGAUACCAU